rnacentral:rRNA from 1 species
CCUACGGGUGGCAGCAGUGGGGAAUAUUGCACAAUGGGGGAAACCCUGAUGCAGCGACGCCGCGUGAGUGAAGAAGUAUUUCGGUUUGUAAAGCUCUAUCAGCAGGGAAGAAAAAGGUCGGUACCUGACUAAGAAGCCCCGGCGAACUACGUGUCAGCAGCAGCGGUAAUACGUAGGGGGCAAGCGUUAUCCGGAUUUACUGGGUGUAAAGGGAGCGUAGACGGCAGCGCAAGUCUGGAGUGAAAUCCUAUGGCUUAACCAUGGAACUGCUUUGGAGACUGUGCAGCUAGAGUGUCGGAGAGGCAGGCGGAAUUCCUAGUGUAGCGGUGAAAUGCGUAGAUAUUAGGAGGAACACCAGUGGCGAAGGCGGCCUGCUGGACGAUGACUGACGUUGAGGCUCGAAAGCGUGGGGAGCAAACAGGAUUAGAUACCCGGGUAGUC